UCUUGUAUGUGAGCCAUCUAGGAACCCUUUGGCUCACUCUCAAAGUUCGGCUAUACCCUUGCUGACCAAAGGAUUCGGUCAUCCUUGUAUAGGAAAGAAACAGAAAACUCUCUUUAGUUUCCUCCCUGUAUGUUUUGGAGAGUCACAAAACUGGUGCUUCCCUCUAUAAUCUCUUCAAGCACAGACGUAAAAUAAAGCCUAGCCAUCAUCACCUCCAUGCGUAUAACUAAGAAGAAGAUGAAGCUGAUUGUGUUCCCUUAAUUCAGAACCAUAUACACAGCCGCCCUUCUCCUGCAAAGUCGUGGAUCGUCAAAUGGAAGAGGCAAAGCUUGAAUGACCUUCCUCUUACCUACUCCUCCAAGUCCGUGAGCUUCACAAGGAAAGCCUAUCAUCCAACUUCUUAUUCCCAUUUCCAUCCACUGGCUCGGCCGAAGAGCAACUUGAGGAAAUGAGCUGUGCAUGUAGUCCUUGAAGAGUAGAUGAACCUAUUGCAUGUGACCAGAACCGUGGCUUUAGGAGAGGAGAAGGGUAAGGACCGUAGCACCAACCUUAGAGGCUGGGAACCAUGAGUGUGUAAUCAAGUGGGUGAAUUCAAAUCCUAGUACUCGGUGUUGCUCUCUGCAUUGUACGGUUUCUGCAUGCAGGAUGAGGUGCUUUCAUUUUGGUUCUGUUUGGUCAUCUGUUCAGUUUGGCUCAGCCUGCAGAGCUGUACUUUCCUUCCCUGUGCCCACUUGAUCGAAUUGCAAUCAGAGGAGGUAUUGUACCUCCAUUAAUUUGGUUCACUGUUACUCCUUUCGUUGGUGGAGUCCCCUCUGCAUGCCGAUGGAAAUUCAAGUCUCUCUCCUUAUUUUGUUGUCUCCCUUGCGUUUAACCGAGGACCCCAUCCAAGGAGGCGUCGGUCUUGGUACUAGGUUAGUUUCCCCCUCCACGCAUGCAGCUGGGUCCGAUUCUUGGACUGUUGGAGGGAGAAGGACUGUUCUGUACGAAUUGGGGCUGUGUGUGUAUGGCUGCAAGAAGGUGCGCAUAAUUCCUAAAGUGUGGGAUGAUUUUGAUGCGGUUGAUUAGUGCUUGGACCCAAGGAGGACGUAAAAGCUUUUGAGGACUUGGGUAAUUGUUGUUGGCUUCUACUGUUUUGGGCAUGCUGCUAUUGAUGUGAUAUUUUAUGGAUGACUGUAUGAAAUUGAGAAGCUUUUAUUACUGUGAACUAUGAUUUUAUUAUUGCAUUACGAUUUUAUGACCAGCAAGUAUUUUGGAAACAGAUGUUGAAACGUUUGCGAAAAGUAUUUUGACAUGUUAUCUAAAUGCUGAGUUUUGAAAAGUCUUUGCGAGCACUUUGUAAGUUGUCGUACUGGGGCUACGGACCUCCGAUUUUCUUAUAAUUUAUAUUC